rnacentral:lncRNA from 1 species
CGUCAGCGGCCUCCAGGGUUGCUCCAGCCGCGAAUCCCGCUGCCCUUUGCCCCGCGGGCCUCCCAAGGCAGCCCCCUGUUAGCCCGACCGGCUUCGAAGCCCGCGCCGGUUGCGGAUCCUCCGCCGCGCCCACCUGUCAGCGCCUCGGCCGGCCGGGGCUCCCGCCGCAUGCAAGCAGCGAGGCGAGGUCGCGCUGAGGCCUGGCCAUGCCACGGACGGCCGGGCCUCACCCUGCCGCUCUCUCGCCGUCCAGAGGCCCCUGCUCCACACCUGGGUACCCUGGGUCCUGACUCAGGUGGGCUGGGUCAUCCCCGUCCAUCAGGGAAGGGCAGCUGGGUGAGAAGCUAACGGCUUGAAGGAACAGGGCUACAAGGGGAGUUUGUGCUGGGCCUGGCGUCCCAGGCUGUGGACUGGAACUGGACAUGAGAACCCCCCCUACACCCUCCCAAGUCAAAGACACUCCAAAAAGACAGUUUCUCCACUUUAUUAGCCUGGAGCUCCUCCCUGCCAGCCCCAGGGGCUGGUCGCUGGUCCCUGGGCACAGUGAGCAGGGCUGAGGUCAGACGGGUUCGGCCCUUGGCCAUGGCAGCUUGGUUGGGACAGCCGGGCCAAGGGAAAAAAAGGUGCAAAAGUCCAAAUGCUGGCACUUCAGGUGUGGCCGGCACCCAGCCAGGCGCAGUGGGUGGGCAGGGCGCCAUGCUUCUCUCCUGGCGACAGGUCGGCCGUGUAGCAGCGCCCCCUCCCAGCAGCCACUAGGAACAGCUGGUGAUUCUCGCCAGGAACUGCUGCGCCCACCACUCGUCUAGGUCAAUGGGCACAAAGUCUGUGGGCAGAGAAGGCUGGGCAGUGAUGCUGCCUCCCAGGCCAGCCGGCAAGUCUCCCCUGGAGCUAACCACAAGCCGCUCACCCGGACUCCGAGUGCGGCAGGCGCUGGGAAGAAGGGGUUUCUGCACAAGAGUCCCCUCCCUCAUCCCCUGGGGUGGGAACCUGGCAGGGCCUGGGUCAGGAUCAGAGGGGCUGGGGGGUCUCUCCUGGGGGGACAGGGUUGGGGGGCUCACUCUGCAGCCGGGGAUUGGGGGUCCUCUCCACGUACUGCACAGGCCUUGGCCCGCCCUCACCGGCUGGGCCACCAUCCAGCUGCUGUUGCACCUGCUGCCAGGCUGUGGGAGGAGGGCAGUCGGGCUGAGCCAGGUCCCAGGCACCCCAUCGCCCACCCAGGGCCUGAUGGUCACCCUGGACUCCAGCCCCACACAGGGCUGGUCACAGGACACAAGGGCAGAGUGCCAAGGAAAAGCACAGCCAUGCAGCGGCUGUGGGUCAGCUUGAAGUGGGGCCAUCCCGGGUCCAUGGUUUUGCGACCCAGCAGCCUAUGCCGCACCCUCUGGCCCCGCUCGCUACCUUCGGACACAAAGCGGACAUUCUCCUCGUGGGCCACUGUGUAGGUCUCCUGGGUCCCCUCGAAGGAUGGGGACGUGGAGGGGGCCCGCCGGCCAUUCACACGAUUGAACACAAGCCUUGGCCCUGGACUGCAGGAAGGGAGGAGACGGACAUGGUUGGUGCCCAUCCCAGGUGCGGUGCUGCCUGGCAGAACUCAGGAGCAGCCCCGGGCCAGCCCACUUUCCCCAGACUUGGCCAGCCUAGGCACUUCCUGAACCAGAGAGAGCAGCCACCCACAGCAGCCGGUGGCCCAGGCCUCUCUUGCAGUCCCCAAGCCAUCGGCAGCUCAGCUCACACCUGCAGCCCUGUGUCCUGAGGGAAGUGAGUGACUGUAGGGUGGGGGCCUCAGUCUUAGAGUGUCCCAAACCUUUGGUCGGGCCCCACUCAGUACCCCUCCCCGAGGGUCUUGCAGGUGCCCAUGCUGCCACCUGCAUCCCAUCAGCAGCCCAGAUUCUGACCUGAGCCACGACCCAGUCCAUGACCAUGUCUCUCUGCCCCAACCCCCCCACUCUGGGUGUAGUUCUAGGCCACAUUCUCGCCCCACAGAAGCACCUCCAUCUCCACGAUGUUUCCCUCCAUGGACGGAUGGACCUGGACGGGAACGGGGGCCUUUGCCCUCUCCCUGGCUGCCCCCACGUCCCAUGGGAUGAGGACUGGGUGCCGGGAUGGGCAGUCCCUGAGUCGGGAGAGUGACUAUAACCCUCGCCCACUCCCCACCGGCCCGAGACAAGGGGCGAUGCCAAAGGAGAUGGCUCCCGCAGUGCCGCACGCAACGUCUGGUGGGCCCCUGGGCCCGUCCCGGCCAGCCGGGCCCAGGGCAGGGAUGAGCGGCCCCAGCUGGCCGAGCCCUGAGCACACAAAGCCCGGGACAGGGCCGUGGAGGGAAUGGGGCCGCACCUACAGCCGGAGGUGGGAGCCGGGAGUCCUGGGCUGCGCCUGCUCCGCCAGGCACUCGCGGUCCCGGCCGGCCUGUUGCCUUCCUGGGCUCAGGUGCCCCAGCGCCGCUCUCGGUUCCUCCUCAGCUGAGAGGGGCACUAAAAUAAAGAGGAGUGUCUUGAGGGGCGCAGGGUCCUGCCGGCCCCAGGGCUGGCAGGGUCUGGUGGCCACAGAGGAUCUUAAAACGUGCAGGUGGAGAUGGGACAGGGGCAGGGGCACCUCCCAGGCCUGCCCGCUGCCUGAGUUUCUGCACAAACCACAGGGAAUAAAGUUUGUCCACUUGGAAAGCCCCCUUGCCUGCAACCCACUCCCACCUCGGAAAGCCAGAAACUCCAAGAAAGCUUGGAGGUUGGAUUAUCAAUGUCUAAGAAGACAAGAACAUUGCCAGGGGCUGUGAAUCGAAGGGCGGAGGUGGCGGCUCUCGGGCAGAGAUGGGCCCCAGGAGGCAGGCACCGCCCCAGGGGCUCUGGUUACGUAAGGCUGCUGCUCUCUGGGGGAAAGGGCACCGGCCCGGCGAGCACCUAUGGAUCACCGCCAACCUCUCCCACUUCCAGGGACACUGCUCCGGGCAAACUUCAGCCCAGGGAGGUGAAGGCUGUGGAGUGCAUCCUCUCCUCUCCCCUCCACAGCCCAUCCCUUUUUCAGCCCAUGAAGCUGGGCUUGGGAGAGAAUCCACCUGAGCAUAUUACAUGCUGGGUGGGGGCAGCACCAGGAUAUCAUAGCAAAUCCAACAACAGAGUCCAUGGCCCUGACCCAGUACAGCCCCCAAGCCAGCCCCUCAGCCUGCCCUCACUGGGCCUCCCCACCCCCGUCUCUUGCAGGCUGCCCCUUCUCGCCCUGUGGGGUUCAUUCCAUUGUCCCUUCCUGUGGCGGUCCCCACACCCUCCAUCUGCCCUGGGGUCGGGUGAUCACAUGGCCCCGUUUCAUCUUAUUACUUAUAUCGCCUCAGUUUAUCUUACUGCCUCCCCUAUCCAUCUCCCACCAGGAGGAAGAACUUGUCAAAGGUGUAUCUGGGCUGGGCGUGGUGGCUCAUGCCUGUAAUCCCAGCACUUUGGGAGGCCGAGGCGGGUGGGUCGCCUGAGGUCAGGAGUUCAAGAUCAGCCUAGCAUACGUGGUGAAACUCUGUCUCUACUAAAAAUACUAAAAAUUAGCCGGGCAUGGUGGCGGGCACCUGUAAUACCAGCUACUCCGGAGGCUGGGGUGGGAGACUCACUUGAACCUGGGAGGCGGAGGUUGCAGUGAGCCAAGAUCACGCCACUGUACUCCAGCCUGGCAACAGAGCAAGACUCUGUCUCAAAAACAAACAAAGGUGGCCGGGCGCGGUGACUCACACCUGUAAUCCCAGCACUUUGGGAGGCCGAGGUGGGUGGAUCACGAGGUCAGGAGAUCGAGACCAUCCUGGCUAACACGGUGAAACCCCGUCUCUACUAUAAACACAAAAAAAUUAGCCGGGUGUGGUGGAGGGCGCCUGUAGUCCCAGCUGCUCGGGAGGCUGAGGCAGGAGAAUGGCCUGAACCCGGAAGGUGAAGCUUGUAGUGAGCUGAGAUCACACCACUGCACUCCAGCCUGGGCUACAGAGCGAGACUCCAUCUCAGAAUAAAAAUAAAAAUUAAAAAAACAAACCAAGGUUUAUCUGGUCUGUCACUGUCGUGGGCAGUGCCCAGACCCAUGCCUGGCAGGAACCAGAGCCAGCAUACAUCAUGGGUGACAAGCCUUGACCCUCUGGGUGCACCAGGAGAUGUGCAGGGACCCCGACACCCCCCUCCCGCGCCCAGUCAGUGAGAGAUGAGGAGUAGCAAAAAGCACCAAGGAGAAGAAAAGGCAGGGCAGGGCCGGGCGCGGUGGCCCACACCUAUAACCCCAACGCUUCCACAGGCCAAGGCGGGAGAAUUGCUCGAGCCCAGGAAUUGAAUACUACCCUGGGCCACAUAGUGAGACCUGUCUACAUAAAAGUUAAAAAUGAGCCAGGUGUGGUGCUCGCCUGUCAUCCCAGCUACUCAGGAAGUCGAGAGGUGGGAGGAUCACUUGAACCUGGGAGGUUGAGGCUGCAGUGAGCCAUGAUUGCACCACUGCACCCCGGCCUGGGUGACAGAGCAAGACCUUGUCUCAAAAAGAAAAAAAUUAAAUGAAGUAAAAAACAGCGAGGUGGGUGGCAGCAUGGGGUGGGGUGGUUCAGAGGGAAGGUGGUUGGCCAAGCACGGUGGUUCACGCCUGUAAUCCCAGCACUCUGGGAGGCCGAGGUGGGCGCAUCACCGGAGGUAGGGAGUUUGAGACCAGCCUGACCAACAUGGAGAAACCCUGACUCUACUAAAAAUACAAGAUUAGCUGGGUGUGGCAGUGCACGCCUGUAAUCCCAGCUAUUCGGGAGGCUGAGGCAGGAGGAUCGCUUGAACCCAGGAGGCAGAGGUUGCGGUGAGCGGAGAUCCUGCCAUUGCACUCCAGCCUGGGCAACAGAGCAAAACUCCAUUUCAAAAAAAAAGAAACAGAGGGAAGGUGGUUGCCCCAAGAAGGUGCAGGAGCAGGAUGGGGGCUUCAUGCAGAGAUCCCACUGCUGCCAGAAGCUCCCAGCGCUGGGGCCUGGGGGUGGGAAGGUGGGUGACCCCAGGGAGGAGAGGGCAGCACACAUCCUGCCCUGCCCAGGGCUCCUCUAGCCCCACUGCACACGGGGUGAAGCCCACUCAACUCCCACAGGUCCCACUGGCUGACAGAGGACCUCACAUGGGGACUUUAAGAAAACAGGCCGGGCGCGGUAGCUCACACUUGUAAUCCCAGCACUUUGGGGGGCUGAGGCGGGUGGAUCAUGAGGUCAGGAGAUCGAGCCCAUCCUGGCCAACAUGGUGAAAUACAAAAAUAUAAAAUUAGCCGGGCAUGGUGGCACGCACCUGUAGUCCCAGCUACUGAAGAGACUGAGGCAGGAGAAUCGCUUGAACCCGGGAGGCAGAGGUUGCAGUGAGCUGAGAUUGCGCCACUGCACUCCAGCCUGGGCGACAGAUGGAGACUCUGUCUCCAAAAAAAAAAAAAAAAAAAAAGAGACAACAGCCAGUGGGCCUGGUGUUGCCCACUGGGACCCUUGGGGUCCCAUGGAGAACUCUGGGAAGCAUUUCCAUCUUCUUCCCUAACUCCUCCUAACUGUGCCACAGCCUUACCCCUGCCCUCCCUAGCAGUGGGGUCUUGGAGAGAGAAGAAAGGUGGUUUCCCCAGGUUAAGAGAGACGGCGUCACCCUGGGCCACUCCAGCCUCAUGCUCCCUGCCUGGGGACCAGGUGGUGGCUACAGGUGUGCCUCGGUUUCCUCCCCUGGGAAGUAGAGCGGCCACGAGGACCAAGGGUGAUGUCCGCGGAGCGUCCCAGCAGAGCUGGGAUGCUGGAAGCACCUAGGGGCCCACUCACCUCCCGCCAGAAGGCGCCUCUGGUAGAGGGCACUUACCUCACUAGGAUGGAGCCCCAGAGAGCCCCCGCCCCGCUGGAACCUCCACACCUUUCUGAGAGGUAGGCAGGGGGCAGGCUGAGGGUGGCUCGGCACCCCCCCACCUGUAGCUGCCCUGAACUCCUGGCCCGAGCUCUCCUCCCCAGCACCGCCUCAGGCCAUGACCCUACCACCUCCAGGAGCCUUCGGGCCGGCUUGGGGCCACAGCAAAAUCCACAGGCCUGGGAGAGGCACAGGAUAAAUGAAGGGAACGGUGGAGGAACUGAGCCAAAGUCAAACGUCCAGCCCUGCGGGGCUGUCCAACCUCUGGGUCAUGGUCACGGGGAGGCCACAGUGGCCGGACUGAGGCUCCUGUGGUCUCGGAGUUUCCUAACUGGGUUAGGAAAAGCAGAAGCAACCGGAUGGGGGGAGGCCCCACUGCCCCAGGGUGUCUGGGGUGAAGGGCGGAGGAGGGCAGCGGCCCUGCCCGAGGGAAGCGCACGCACGUCUCCCCCACUGAGCUCUGCAAGGGCAGAGCCGGGAGAUCUUGAGGACCAGCGCCCGACGCUCUCCGCGAACCGUGGCCUGGGCCUGCUGCACGUCAGGGUUCCAGCAGCAACCCAAGGUCGCCCGAAGCACCGACCUCGGACGCUGGAGGCCCCUGCGACCCAGGAACUGGCCGGCUUUCUCCCCGCUGGGGGCCCGGGCCCGGCCAGGUGAGGCGGAAGUGCGAGGCGCAGGCCCGCGGGCGCGUAGUGGGCAGGACCCGCGCACCCCCCGCGCCCGGAGCGCCCGCCCCGCCUGCAGCACGUGGCCGGACCUCACUAACAUUUCCCCAAGGUCACCCUCCGCUCUAGGGCGGCCGGCGGGGGAGGGGAAGCCGGGCCGGGCCGGGCCGGGGCCGCGCGCGUCUCACCUCGACAGGGGCCAGGGUCCCGGCGGCUGCGCAAAGGGCUGCGCCCGCGGGGGCUGCGAGGUCGGCGGCGCGGGCUGCCGGCAUUUCAGGAGCUCGCCGAGCCGGCCCUCCACCUGCUGCUGCGUGGGACCUGCGGGCACCGGGGGGCGGUCAGCCGCCGCCGCGCCCCGCCCCGUCCCCGUUCCCGUUCCCCGGCCCGUGCGCACCUGUGCGGCGCUGCGCGACCAGCUUGCUGGGCCCCUUGGUGAUGGUGUACAUGACGCGCCGCUCCCACACCGCCGCCGGCCCCCGGCCAGAUCCGGCCCCUGCGCCGGGGCUCGCACUUAACGGACUGCGGGCGCCGCGGGGAGGGGGCGGGCCCGCUACACGCCCCCGGCCCUUAAAGGGCCCGCACGGGCUCGGGCUGACCCCGGACACGCGGCGGAGGCGGCGCUUGCGCCCUUUGGGAAACUGGCAGGCGGGGGCGGAGCCGCCAGCAACCCCGCCCCAGCCCCCGGAGGCCCGAGGCCAAGGCGGACGAGGCGCCCUGCUGCCCGGGAAGGCCGUUGCUGCCUGGAGGCCAUGUCAGUGUCGGGGCACCGCACUCAGACUGCUGGCGGCGAGGACCCAGGGGCCCUGCGGGGUCAGCGGCGAUGUGCGAGCAGGGUCCUCGGAGCCCCAGGGCCCACCUUUGACAAGCGCUGGAGGAGAACCUGUGCUGGGGGUCCCUGUGCUGGGGGCAUCCCUGUGCUGGAGGUCUCUGUGCUGGCGGGAUCCCUGUACUGUGGGGGGGUCCCUGUGCCUGUGCUGGGGGGCUCUGUGCUGCGGGCCCUGUGCCGGGGGCAUCCCUGUGCUGGGGGGAUCCCUGUGCUGGGGGGCCCUGUGCUGGGGGCAUCCCUGUGCUGGAGGUCUCUCUGCUGGGGGGAUCCCUGUACUGGGGGGGGGUCCCUGUGCCUGUGCUGGGGGGCUCUGUGCUGCGGGCCCUGUGCUGGGGGCAUCCCUGUGCUGGGGGGAUCCCUGUAUUGGGGGGCCCUGUGCUGGGGGGAUCCCUGUGCUGGAGGUCUCUGUGCUUGGGGGGAUCCCUGUACUGGGGAGGAGUCCCUGUGCUGGAUCCCUGUGCUGCGGGCCCUGUGCUGGG